UCUCACAGACGCGGAGAGAGUGUACUAGUUACUUUUUCCGCAAGUCUUUUCUGAAGUCUUUCUCUCAUCAAAAAAGGGUGCUCUCCUCAGUCUCUCCUAUCUCAUUUCUCUCUCUCACAAACUCAGAUCAGAUCUUUACAACAGUCUGCUCAUAAAUCUUGAUGGCUCUUGUGAACGGCAAAGGAGCCUCAUCUUUCUCUUUCACCCACCAACCCAAGAACUUUGAUGUCUUCUUGAGUUUUAGAGGUGAAGAUACCCGUGAUGGUUUUAUUAGCCAUUUGUAUGAGGCUUUGCAUUUAAGGGGUAUUCACACCUUCAUCGAUGAUAAUCUCCAAAGGGGAGAAAAAAUUUCUACAGAGCUUCUGAAAACUAUUGAGAACUCAACAAUAUCAAUAAUUGUAUUCUCUGAAAACUAUGCAUCAUCCACUUGGUGUUUGGAUGAGCUAGCCAAGAUUGUUGAGUGCAAGAAGAAUGACCAAUUGGUGCGACCGAUUUUUUACAAUGUGGACCCAUCAGAUGUACGUAACCAAAAUGGAAAGUUUGGAAAAGCUCUAGCUAAAUAUGAAAAAAACAUUAAGCACAACAAGAAAGUACAAAGAUGGAGAAACGCUCUCCAAGAAGCAGCCAAUAUAUCUGGUUGGCAUUACCAACAUAGUGGCAGCGAGUCCAAAUUUAUCCAAGGAAUUGUUGAAGAGAUCUCAAAUUCUAAAUUAAAUCGCAAGCCAUUAUCUAUUGCUCGAUACCCUGUUGGAAUAAAUUAUCGUGUAAAGACCAUUCUUUCAGAUAUUGAGUCAAAUGAUGCUCCCAUGAUAGGGAUCUAUGGCCUUGGUGGAAUAGGUAAGACCACAAUUGCAAAAGCUAUUUUUAAUAGAAUUUGUGAUCAUUUUGAUGGAUUUUGUUAUCUAGAAAAUGUUAGAGAAAAAUCUGGGACAAAUAAUGGUGUAAUUGAACUACAAGAGAAACUUCUUUUUGAGAUCUUAAGGGAUAGAAAUUUAAAGGUGGGUAACAAAUCUAGAGGAGUCAAUAUGAUAAUGGAAAGACUUUCUUUUAAGAGGAUUCUCUUAGUUCUCGAUGAUGUGGAUAGAUGGGUCCAAAUAGAAAAUUUGCUUGGAGGAUGUGAUUGGUUUGCUUCUGGAAGCAAAAUCAUUAUAACAACAAGAGACAAACACUUGGGAGCUACUCUUGAAAAAUGUUUUUCAACGUACGAGGUUAAGGAAUUAGAUCAAGAUGAAGCUCUUGAACUCUUUAGUAUGCAUGCCUUCCAAAGCAACAAACACAAAAAAGAUUAUUUGGAACUUGCAAACCAAGUUAUAAAAUAUACCAAGGGACUUCCAUUAGCUCUAGUAAUAAUGGGCGCUGAUUUGUGUGGAAGAUCUAAACCUGAAUGGAAAAGUGCAAUCGAUAAGUAUGAAAAAAUUCCUAACAAAGAAAUUCAAAAAGUACUCGAAAUAAGUUAUGAAGGAUUGGAUGAAGCUGAACAAGAUAUUUUCCUCGAUAUUGCAUGUUUCUUUAAGGGAUUUCAUAAGAAGUAUGUCAUGGAUGUACUAGAUUCUUGCGAUUUACAUCCAAUUUAUGGAAUUCAAAAACUUAUUGAUAUGUGUCUAAUAACUGUUGAUCAAUAUGACAAAUUGUCAAUGCAUGACUUGCUGCAACAAAUGGGUAAGGAGAUUGUUCGACGGGAAUCACCACAACUACCUGGAGAGCGUAGUAGACUAUGGCAUUAUGAGGAUGUUCUUGAUGUACUAAUUGAAAAUACGGGGUCAAAAAAAGUUCGAGGCAUAAGGAUAUGCUCAGAUGAACCAUCAAAGAUUCAAUUAGAGCCUAAAUGUCUUGAAAAGAUGAAAAAUCUCAAGUUUCUUAUAGCUAGUAAUGUAGAGAUUUGUGCAAAUCUUGAAAAUAUUCCCAAUGGAUUAAGGGUGCUUGAUUGGCGUGGAUUUCCUUUAUCUUCCUUACCAUCCAAUUUUCAUCCUCAAAAGCUCACUGUACUUAACAUGCCAGAAAGUAGGGUUAUAUUGUACAAGCUUCUCGAGAGGAUACAGUGUAAAAGCUUGGUAUAUAUGAAUUUUCAAUCCUGUCAAUGCAUUAAGGAGUUGCCUGACUUAUCGAUCGCCACCCCAAACAUAAAGCAAUUGAAUCUUCGUGAAUGUAUGAAAUUAGUCAAGGUUCAUGACUCUAAUGGAUGUCUUGAUAAGCUUGAAAGUUGGGACCUUACGGGUUGCAUUGAACUUCAAAUUCUUCCAAGCUGCAUCAAGAUGAAAUCUCUUAAAUUUUUAAUUCUUUACGAGUGCAAUAGGUUUGAGAAGUUCCCUAAUAUUCCACAAGAAAUGGAAAAUUUAAAGUUCCUAAGUCUGGCAUACACUGCCAUUAGAGAGCUUCCUUCAUCAUUUGGGAAUCUCAUUGGGCUUGAGCGAUUAGAUAUAGGUUCCUAUUUCUAUUCAUGUCAUCUUCCAAGUAGCAUCUAUAAAUUGCAAUAUCUUCGCAAACUCAUUCUUCAUGGCAAUGUCCAAUUUGCAAAGGAUGUGGAGAUAGGUAGACAAGCACUAUGCAAUUCUUAUGGUGGCUUUUCAAAAUAUGGUUUUCUGAUGUUGAAUCUUGUAAAAAAUUUGUCUUCUUGUUUCCACCUCUCAAAGAAAUGUUUAUUAUCAGGGAGUGAAAAUUUGAACAUCCGAGAUAGCAUUAUGAGAUUCAAUGGAUUAGAUUUUCUUCUAAUUGAGGAUUCUAUGUUCCUUAAGAAAAUUCCGAAGCUUCCAGAAAGUAUAAGAUCUGUGUAUGUGUCAAACUGCAUCUCGUUGAAUUCAAAAUCAUUAAGAAAACUAUUUCUUCAGUUUGGAAGAAAUUUAGAGCUUUCACCAGAUAUGAAAUGUUCAGGUGUGAAAGGCAAUGUAUUUGUGGAUUCCCAUUCACAUCAGAUUGAUUAUUCUUCCCAGCUCUCCCUCUCCCAGUUCUUCCUAAUUGAAGAAGAGUUACGUUCAAAUCUAGAUGUGUAUUUGAUUGAUUUUGGAGAGAGAUAUAAUAUUAUAGUACCAGAAAAGAAGAUUCCAACGUGGUUCAACCAUCAAAGCAUUGAAAGCUCCAUAUCAUUCUGGGUGGGUCCAGAAUUUCCAACAUUUGCCUUUUGUAUUGCUUUUCAUCUAGUUUCAUUGAAAGACAGUUAUGCAAAUAAUGAUAAGUGCGGUUCUCUCCGUGAUGAUAUAAUUAGUUGGGUUUGUGUUGUCAACAUUUCCAUCAAUGGUCAUAUGCAACCUUUCAUGCGGCAGCCAAUCUUUCAGGGUUUGAAGUGUGAUCAUUUGUGGUUUUACGGUGUACCUCAAAGCCAAUUGCAGCAGAAAUUUGGAGACUUGUUGCAAGGUGAUCAGAAUCAUGUUGAGGUUUCAUGUAAAAUCUCUCAUUGGACAAGUGAAUUCGGAAAAUUUGCACCUGUCAUUGCAAGGAUGGGGGCACAUGUGGAAUGCAUUUGUUCUCCUCAAAAUUCCAUUAUCAUCCAUAACAACUCUCAAAAUGUUGAUGACAACUCUGACAACACUGAGCUCGCACCGCUACUAUAACCUGUCUCAACGGACUCAGACGCGGGAUAACCUGAACCUCCUCUAAUCCUUGAUGACACUAGUUUCUUUCCUUGACAUCUUAUUUAAGGCUUCCAGUGGAUAAAGCUAAUGGGUUUGACUUAAUUUUGGGUUUUCUAAAUUUGGGUAUCGACUCAACCGAUGGUGAUGUGUUUGAUUUGAGUUCUUCUUCAAUGGCCCAUCCCUCCAUAAAAAAUGACGCCAGCUUCAAUCCAUAGUCACCAUCGAAGAAACUAAGAAUCUCUUAAUCAAAUUUUGAAAAAAUAUGCCCAGGAUUAUUGUUCUAGAGAUCAAGCAGAAAACAAGAUGAAGUCAUAAGCAACCAAACCCCUCCAUUAUCAUGACUCUGUUCCGGUGACUAGCUAUAGGUGAAGAAAACGAGGGUUGCUUCUCUGAUGAUAGUGAAUGUCUGAGAACAAAUUGGACAUCAACAUUGGAAUUGAAAUGGCCAGACUGCUCAACCGGAGAUAACUGCUGUGGUUUAUGUCUAGGAUUCUUAUACCAAGGAGUGCUACCCCAGCUUUUAAUGGACAAAUAUCUCAAUGAUGUAAUGCUAGGGAGAUGCAUAAAGGAGAAGAAGAAUGAUUACAGUUUCAACAAUCAAGCAGGUAUAAAAUGUCGUUCAAUGAAAGAUUUGCAUUGCAAUAUGACAAAAAAACUUCUCAAGAAUCUUUCUAGAAGUUUAGUACUAUGAUAUGAAAACUCCUUUAACAGAGAGGGUUUACAUGUGAUGAAACAUGGCAAAUGAUCUCAGCUUACAUUGAUUGGGAUGCUUAUACAAAGGUGUGUUGUCAACUUAUUGUAGUCUUAGAUGUUAGUUUCAAUUAUAUGUGGCUAACAGUUUCUUUAUGUUGAAAUCUCCAGAAACAAUUUCAAACAGAACCGAAUUGAAACCAAAUUAUAAUGAUUUUUGCUUGAUUUAUGGAAAUCCAGCUUCUAAUAAGGUUGUAACAAAGCAGGUCAAGACAUUUGUUGUAAUGGUGUAGGGUAGAUUUUGACAAGAUUAUAAGCAGUCUGCAACCUUGUUUAUUUUUUUCCCUCUUUCAAAUCUUUGGACUUUAGUCAGUGCGCAAUUAGUUUUAGGUGUUCAGUGUGUCUAAAUAUAUGUGUGCUACUUCAUUUUGCAUUGAUUGCAAUAGCAUAUUCUCAAGCGUGUGGAGAUUUGUAAGUAUAUGAGUUAUAUAUUGUAAAGUAUCAUCUUUACAAGUGUGUGGAGAUUUUUAAGAUGUAUAACAAUGGUUAAGCUUGUUUUAUACUAAGGACAAUGUCUCAAUAGCCUCUUAACUUGGAAAUUUCAUUGAGAGGGCACAAAUCUUCUGAAAAAAUUGACCUAGUAAGCAUCUGAAUAUUUGUCACCACCUUACAUGUAAGACAAAAAAAAUGCUCAAUGGUCUGUUUGAUUAUCUACCUAUUGACUGUAACUACUCUUUUUACAGCUUCAAAAUGAUGCAGUCUCAUUCAGGUUAAUUGGACAUGAAGUUCCAAUCAGCUAAAGCUAUUCAAGAGACGAUUCUGAGUUCCAAGUACUCCAUUAGAGACCAGUAUUCUAAAAUGGAUGAGACCUCAAAAAACAUGCAUUUAUCCCAAGAAAGAAACCAAUGUGGUGUAGUUUAUGAUAUGCAUAGGAAUGCUGUGGUCAAGGAAAUGGAUCUUGAUCAAAUGUCUGCGACCUCAAAUCUGGAAGUCAUGACCAGGACCUCAUUUAUCGUUAUACAAGUUGAAAGAUGAACGUUGAAUAUUGUACUGUACUUGGGCAUAAAAAGCUGUAAUUGUAAUUGUAUAUAAUACAAUCUGGAUUCUUUUAACCUUUUUAAUAUCAAAUUUUCACUGCAGUUUUUUUGUCAA